UGAUGACAAUCGAAGGACAUUAACUAAAAUUAAUUAGAAUAUUUAUAUAUUUAUUUAAUAACAAAUAAUCGCUGGUCGAAUUUUAUAAAAGUUUUAUAAAAAAAAUGUGGCAUAUUAUUCCAGGAUUAUCAAUGAUAUUCGUAGCUGUAUAUGUGGUUUGUUCAUCGAUAAUUAAUUACGGGGUCUCCUCUGAAGGAUUGAAUGACGUUUUAGAAUAUGUUAGACAUGGACAUAGUACUACAUACUAUGUAUAUCGUCAAAGGGGAUGAUAUUUUCUCGGCAUACAAUGUGGCUAGAUGGAAAUAAAAUUUUAUUUUUAACACUUUUUCUUGAAAAUAUAUUAUACAUAUAUAUAUAUAUAUACACAUUCUCUCACGUUAUAUAUAAUUAUGAAUUUUAUUGGGCAUAUGAAAAAUAUUUUAAAUAAUAUAAAUUAUGAUAUUUUAUUUAUUUAUUAAUAAAACUACAUCUCCCAACAAUUCUUCUUUUUUUUAGAAGCAUAUAUUAAUUACAUUACAUUA